CUUACACACUUCUUUUACAAUUCUUCCAGACCCUGCACCACGAAAAUGCAGGGUCACAGCCCUUUGAGAACCUGGCCGUGGAAGUGAUGGGCCAGUCCAUGCAUGAAGCUGCAUUUAUGAAAGUGGCACGUAUGAGAAACCAUCCCCUCUUCUCCCCCACUGCCACCAUCAUCACCAGUCCACUGAGUUAGAAAGAAAGUAAGCAAAUCACUUCUGAAAAUAUUGCAAAGAAAAAUAGAGGAACUUGUCCAAAUUGUCUCUGAGAGCCAAAGCUGACUUGAAGAAAAGACAUUAAUGAAAAUCAGCUAAGUUUUGAUGAAGAUGGCUUAAGUAAGAGGUUCAAUGCAGCCUCCAUUUCUGUGUCUGUAUACUGCAGUGGGCUUUUUUUCCCAUCAGCCUCAGGCUGAAAUCAGCUUGUCAGCAUUCAGAUGGGUAUCACUGGUGACAAUAGCUCCCUCUACAGGAAGAAGCAAGCAAGACCAUGACUGCCUGAACCAAUGCAAUCAUACAAAUUGCAUACCGCAGAGGCAAUAAUUACCUCCCUGCUGGAGUCAAAUUCUUCAGGCUGAGGUGGUACUGUUUUCAAAGAAACUGUUUGCUGCUGAAGACUAAAUAUAGCUGCAAUUGUUGCAAAAUACUGAAUGACUCGCUUGGUGUUGACAGUCUUUCCAGCACCAGAUUCUCCGCUAGCAAGAAAAAUCAAUCAUCAGGUUUUGCUACUCAUUAAGAAGCAGGAAAAAAAGAAGAAAAUCAUUGAGAGUUGAAGUCCUAACAUGAAGGUCUCUGUCUUUGUGAGCAUUUUAUGGUAGUAUAUUCAGAAAGAAGCUGUUAGCUACAACUAUCAAGACAUCAGACUUUGUGAAUUUUUACUUUUAUAUCACUUCUAACUAAAAUAUAACUAAUGUAAAGUAAGAUUGGGAAAUUCAGAAUUUUUGAAAUUGGGUUUAAUCUGUUUCUGUGGGUCAGAAUUGUACUUCACUGCCUACUAACUUCCAUUUCAAUAGCCAGGUUGUAAAAUAAAGUUGUCAACAGUCAAUAUAAAAGCUUCAUCAUUAGUGACCAAAUAAUUUUUUUAAAAUUCUAGGCACUGCCUUUAUCACUAGUUAGGUUUCCAAUUACAAACAAGCUCCCCAAAGAGAAUUUGUUUAAAAAUAUACAAGUAAUAAAAAUGCUUCUACUAUUAUGUUUCUUUGGUGAAAAAAAGAUGGACUAUUAUUGCCACAGCUGUGAUCCUGAAACAAUUAGGAAGGAUUUAAGCCAAUGCUAAGACAUGUUUUCUAGAUGGGAUUUGUGGCCUUCAACAACAUCAUUAUUGAGGGUAAUCAACUUGGGAUAUUACAAAACUUGCCUUUAGCUUCCAUUAUAAUCCCUUGGUGGUUAUAUAGCAUUUACUAUCAGCAUAAUCCAGAAGCAGAAUAUUAUAAGAGACAGUAGUUGCUUUUUAAUAACAUUUUAGAGGAUGAAAAGAUCUGAAAGUCUCAAAAACCCGACAUAAUUACAAUCAAAAUUGUACAAAUUACAAUUCUUGGAUCAGGAAUUGGUUAUUUAUGACACGAUCUUUCUCCAAUGAUCUCCUAUAAGAUCCAUUCUAUAAGAUAAGGAGUGCAGGUAUUAUCUAAGACUUAAUUAAUUAAGGAGGGCCAUGUCAUGCAGUCCUGCAAGCACAUCUUUUCUUUGCUGAUCCUUUCCCUGUGAAAUAUCACCACACACACACUUUGCUGUCCUUUAGUAAAGUUCUAAAACCCUGGCUUUUCAAAGAAACCAGGGAUCAACAUAAUUUAUGAUUCCAAGUAAUGGAAGGUGGACAUUUUUGUUAUUCUGUAGCGUCUUCAGAUACUCUAGAAAUAUAAAUAAGUAAUCUAUAUAAAAUGCUGCUGAUCGUAGACUUUGUAAAGUUUUUCUUGUUUUCUUAUAUAUAUAUAUAUUUUAAUCCAUCUCUCAAUAGUUGCUAAACAAUAAUAGUAGCUUGUAUAACAGGCAACAUACAAAUGACAAAAAUUCCUUUUUAAAACUGAAGAAAACCAAGAAUUUAACAAACAUCUAUGGAACUGGGUCAGGGGAAUUCAUUAUAAGAUACAGAAGACCAUAUGGUUAUGGUGAUUUUUUUAAAAAAAACAUGUUAUUGACAUUUUGCAGAAGUAAUUUUGGUAAAGGUAAAGGUAAAGGUUUCCCCACACAUGUGUUUCCGGCUCUAGGGUCAGUGCUCAUCUCCAUUUCUAAGACAAAGAGCCAGCGCUGUCCAAAAGCGUCUCCGUGGUCAUGUGGCCGGCAUGCCUCAACGCCAAAGGUGCACGAAAAAUAUAGGUAGUCCUUAUUUAGCAAUCAAAAUUGGAACCAGUAAAGCAGUCGCCACAGAACGGCAAAGACUCCUGUGAGCUAUGUUACACUGAGAGUAUAUGACUUCCCAAAAUCACCCAGUGGAUUUUUAUGGGGCUGAGGGACACCUUUGUCCUACAAUGAACUGAUUCUUCACUUCAUUUUUGAAUUGUAUAUAGCACAAAGCCCUGGAUACUGGCAUGCCCCCUCAAAUCUAUUCUGGCAUUCCCAUAAAAGUGUGUGUUCUUCUCGCUCUUCUCGCUCUGGUUUGAUUGGCUACAAAGAAGCCCACCUGUGCUGUCCUUCUCCUUUGGAAUGUCUCAAGUCUUUCGUCUUCAUCUGGCACAUUGUCAUUCCAUUGGUCAAGGUCCUUUUUCUGGCACUCUGUGUUGCAUACCAGGAAUGCAAUCGCUUCUCAAGGAGACAAAUGGAUUUCAUUCCAAAGGAGCUUCUAUCAUGAUGCCCUGGCGUAGGAUGGCAUAGGCAAAACAUUGAAGGGAGGGGGCGUAUAGAAGGAACUAUUCUCAGGAGAUCCUAUUUUAUGGUGAAAAGGUUUGAAUUCAAAAUAGAUGUUUAAAAUUAGAUGAGCAAUAGCAAUCAAAGAAAAAAUGUUGAUGCUGCUCAGUGCUCUUGAUAAUUCAGUGCCCGCAGUAGCAAUUUUGCUAUGGCUAAAACCUCCAUCUAAGAUUUUGCUAUUUUAGGCUCUGCAUUAAAUACAUAAAAUCUCCGCCCAUGUGCCAGUGUCCUUGCAUCACUGAAAUGAAGAUGGUUUUAAUGAUGGAAGUUAUUUGCUGGCAUAUCCUCUUCAGAAAUAGGAUUGCAACUUCAAUGUCUUUUUAAAACUGCCCAGGCCAGAAUGAAUAUCUUUUUUUUUUUUUUUGAAGAAAAAAGCACAGUUGAACUAAUUUUCAGGACUAAUACUCUGACAAAUCAAAUUUUAUAAAUAUUGUGAAAAUACCUCACAAUGCAGUAAGCGCAUGCAGCAGUCUAACAUUUGAUGAUACAAUUGUGCAAACCUUUGGCUUAGAUUUGAUGUUCUGUCAUUUUAUAAUAAUUGUUGGUAAUGAGCUUUCUGUACCAAUUUACAAUAUUGUCUUUUUUCUUAUUUAGAAUGUUGAUCAAAGAUGCUAAUAAAUAAAUGUGUUUCAAUGAUAAUAAAUCAUAGCUACCAAACACUUUUAGGUAACAUAAAAUGCACCUACUUGUCAUAUACUCCUUGACUUAUGACCACAAUUGAGCCCAAAUUUCUGUUGUUAAGUGAGACAUUUGUUAAGUAAGUUUUGCCCCAUUUUAUGACUUUUCUUGUCUCAGUUGUUAAAUAAAACCAUGCAGUUAUUAAGUUAGUAACAGGGUUGCUAAGGUAAUCUGGCUUCCCCAUUGACUUUGCUUGUCAGAAGGUCAUAAGAUCACAUGACAUUGCAACCAUCAUCAGUAUGAACCAGUUGCCAAGCAUCUGAAUUUUGAUCAUGUGAUCAUGGGAAAAGGUUGUAACUGUGAAAAAUGGCCAUAAAUCACUUUUUUCAGUGCCAUUCAGUAGUGGGUUGUUCCCAGUUCAGUCCUGUUCUUAAGAACCAGUAGUAAUGGUGGCAAGAGGCUCCGUCCACCUGCCCCGACAUCAUCACUGACGAUCUGCGCAUGUGUGCUCCCGUUGCGAACUGGUAGUAAAGGUAAGUGGAGCCCACCCCUGGUGCCAAUGUAACUUUGAAUGGUCACUAAACAGACUGUUGUAAGUCAAGAACUACAACACACCUAGGAACUGUUUUUGUAACUGGUUCUUUAACCAGAAGGUGAUUCCAUCUGGCACAUGUGAAGCUUGCUUUCCUACAUUAUACUGACUGCCAGUUUACUUAUAUUGUCUUCUCCUUAACCAUAUCCAAGUAUAAAUUUAAAAUGCCUAUUGUUAUUGGAUCAGUUGAUAAUGAAGGAGAAAGAGAGGUCAGUAGCAUAGUUCUUUGAUGAUCUCUGCUAGAUGCUUCAUUUAGUUUUUAAACAGACACCAGAAUACAAUAUAAUAUAAGAAAAAACCCUGAGAUCUGCAUGUAAUCUACAAAAGCUAUUGUAUCUGAUAGAACAGAAACUAAUGCAAAAGAACUCCUUGCACUUUUAAAGCAUUCUAAUCAUAAAUAUUUGUGUGCAUAAAUAGCAUGAAAUGUUCAUAAAGUUCAUAUUCUACAGCCUAUCCUAAAGCAAGCAUAUAUCAAUAAAACAAAGAAAUGUCUAUCUUGAAACCCAGCUUAAACCAAAAUGGAAAUGGAAAAGAUGAUAGUUCCAUGGUACAGCAUGGUUUUCAUUUUGAAGGCUCCGGCAUAGAAGCUUAGUGUUGGAAGGAGCUAUUUAGUCUAUUGAGACCAACUCUUAGUAUGAGUUCAAGCAACCCUGACAGGUGGCUGUCUAGACUCUGCUUGAACACCUGUAUUUAAAUAUUGUAAGUUGAAUGUUGUGAGGCACUUUGUCAAAUAUUUUCCUGAAAUCAAGAUAUGGUAGAUUUACAAUCUGUUAAGGAAGUUAGUAAAAACUAAGAGCCAGUUUGGUCUAGUGGUUAAGGUACCAGAGUAGAAACUGGGAGACUGUGAGUUCUGGUCCCACCUUAGCCAUGAAAAUCAGUUGGGUAGCCUUGGGUCAGUCACUUUAUCUCAGCCCAACCCACCUCUCAGGAUUGGGGAAAAUAGAAGAAGGAAGCUACGUUGGAUAUGUUUGCUGAGGCUCUGCUUUUUCUUCCUUAUGUAUUAGUGAUAUAAGAGAAUAUUUGUAACACAGGGUUAAACUGUGGUGCUGUCUGAGCUUGGUGGCUUUCUUGCAGAUAUUUCAAUACCCAACUAGGUAACAUCAGCAGUACUAGAAAGGAGUGGGGGUUGCUUUUAUUUUUAUGUAUUAGUGGCUUGUCCAGUCAGUGUUGGUAGGAAUAGUCUUGGUGAUUCCUUGAAAGAUUGCUGUUUACUGUUGGCUUGUUUGUCUGUGUUGGCAUCAGUUUCCAAUCAAGGAAUUAUCAAAUGAUGAAUUUGCUAAAUGCAAACUUUUUUAUACAUUUUAUAAAAUUUAUACAUUUUUAUGCAUUCAUAUGAACUUAUGUCAAGAUUUGAAAUGGAGGAACAGCAAGAUAAAGAAUGUAUAGUAAAAUGGGCCAAGAAUUUUGGUGAUAAUAUUCAAAUGGAUCAAUGGGAAAGAAGAUAAAGACUUGAAAUUCACAUUGUAUUAUAAUUUCAAUAAAACUUACAAAUAUUAUGCAUUAGUGUAUGUGAUAACAAAUAAAUUGUCUAUGAUGUAUAAAGAUACUUCUAAUCGUUGUUGAAAAUGUGAAAAAUGUGAGAGGACAUUUUAUCAGCUUGGUGGACUUGUGAAAAAACAAAAUGAUAUUGGAUACAAAUACAAGUGGUGAUGGAGAACAUUCAGAAAUUAACAUUCAGAUAAAAUCAGAAUUUUUUUUAUCAGAAAUUAUAGCCAGGCAGCUAAAAAUGGUUCUUGGACAAUGGGUUUUAUAUAUGCUUAACUGCAGUGAAUUAUUAUAUGCACAAUGGAAAACUAAAGAAACAUUAGUAAUGGAGAUAGUGAAGAUGGCUAAGUUUGCAAUAAUGGCUAAAUUGAUGUUUUGAUUGAGGAGGAAACUACAAUUACUUGUAUUAAAACUGAAAAGCCUUAUAGAUUUUUUUUUGGGGGGGGUGUUAAAUUGCUGCUAACAAUUUCAGGAUUUAUAAAUUAGAAAGCUUUGUUUAAGGGAACUAUCAUCUGCAACAUGGGAGAGUGAAGAGGGCAAUUGUUAUGUUAGUACCUUUUCUUUUCUUUUAUGUGCACUGAGACCCUAUGC